rnacentral:rRNA from 1 species
ACACGUAGGGGGCGAGCGUUGUCCGGAAUUACUGGGCGUAAAGGGCGCGUAGGCGGCGAUUUAAGUCUGAUGUGAAACCCCUGGGCUUAACCUAGGGCUUGCAUUAGAAACUGAAUGGCUUGAGGGCAGGAGAGGGAAGCGGAAUUCCCAGUGUAGCGGUGAAAUGCGUAGAUAUUGGGAGGAACACUAGUGGCGAAGGCGGCUUUCUGGACUGAACCUGACGCUGAGGCGCGAAAGCCAGGGUAGCGAACGGGAUUAGAUACCCCGGUAGUCCUGGCCGUAAACGAUGGAUACUAGGUGUGGGAGGUAUCGACCCCUUCCGUGCCGUAGCCAACGCAAUAAGUAUCCCGCCUGGGGAGUACGGCCGCAAGGCUGAA